GGGUGCGAUCAUACCAGCACUAAUGCACCGGAUCCCAUCAGAACUCAGAAGUUAAACGUGCUGGGCGAGAGUAGUACUAAGAUGGGUGACCUUGAUGGGUUCUUUAUGCAACCU
rnacentral:rRNA from 1 species